GAGGGGGAGGCGGAAUUGGCAGACGCACUAGACUUAGGAUCUUGCGGCUUACGGCGUGGGGGGGCGAAUCCCCUCACACGCA
rnacentral:tRNA from 1 species